UACGUAGGGGGCUAGCGUUGUCCGGAAUCAUUGGGCGUAAAGCGCGUGUAGGCGGUCCGGUAAGUCCGCUGUGAAAGUCGGGGGCUCAACCCUCGAAUGCCGGUGGAUACUGUCGGGCUAGAGUGCGGAAGAGGCGAGUGGAAUUCCUGGUGUAGCGGUGGAAUGCGCAGAUAUCAGGAGGAACACCGAUGGCGAAGGCAGCUCGCUGGGACGGUACUGACGCUGAGGCGCGAAAGCGUGGGGAGCGAACAGG
rnacentral:rRNA from 1 species